rnacentral:tRNA from 1 species
CUGGGGAUAGAGUUCAGUGGUAAAAUGCAUGCCUAGCAUGCAUGAGGCCCUGGGUUCAAUCAACAGCACUACA